rnacentral:sRNA from 1 species
CUCCCCAUCAGAGAAUUGAACUCUAAUCUCACACAUGCCAAGAAGGGAUGCUCACCACUGUACUAAUGAAGA